UCAGGUUCCACCUCAGAAUCUCCCCAGCCCUCAGGGAGUUAGAGAAAGAAAAUGAGAUGUCCUUCGAAGAGGAUCAGAGACCACUGAAGAUCUUGACCCAGAUCCUUUUGCAUUGGCUAAGUGACUCAAGUCAUCCUGACAUCUUUCUUCCCUCUGGACUGUGGAUCUCCACUGAAGAAUAUGACCUUCCCCAACCCUUAACCUUCCAGUGCAGCUAUGGUCUCUUACAUCUACACCUACAAAGACGCUGGUCUUUGUAACACUGCUAUUUUAAUAUUUUAUAGUUUCAG